GGGUGCGGAACACGUGUGCAACCUACCUUUAUCAGGGGGAUAGCCNNUCGAAAGGAAGNUUAAUNCCCCAUAAUAUAUUGNNNGGCAUCAGUNNNNAUUGAAAACUCCGGUGGAUAGAGAUGGGCACGCGCAAGAUUAGAUAGUUGGUAGGGUAACGGCCUNCCAAGUCAGUGAUCUUUAGGGGGCCUGAGAGGGUNAUCCNNCACACUGGUACUGAGACACGGACCAGNCUCCUACGGGAGGCAGCANUGAGGAAUAUUGGACAAUGGGUGAGAGCCUGAUCCAGCCAUCCCGCGUGAAGGACGACGGCCCUAUGGGUUGUAAACUUCUUUUGUAUAGGGAUAAACCUACUCNCGUGAGAGUAGCUGAAGGUACUAUACGAAUAAGCACCGGCUAACUCCGUGCCAGCNNCNNCGGUNAUACGGAGGGUGCNAGCGUUAUCCGGAUUUAUUGGGUUUAAAGGGUCCGUAGGCGGAUCUGUAAGUCAGUGGUGAAAUCUCAUAGCUUAACUAUGAAACUGCCAUUGAUACUGCAGGUCUUGAGUAAAGUAGAAGUGGCUGGAAUAAGUAGUGUAGCGGUGAAAUGCAUAGAUAUUACUUAGAACACCAAUUGCGAAGGCAGGUCACUAUGUUUUAACUGACGCUGAUGGACGAAAGCGUGGGGAGCGAACAGGAUUAGAUACCCUGGUAGUCCACGCCGUAAACGAUGCUAACUCGUUUUUGGGCUUUAGGGUUCAGAGACUAAGCGAAAGUGAUAAGUUAGCCACCUGGGGAGUACGUUCGCAAGAAUGAAACUCAAAGGAAUUGACGGGNNCCCGCACAAGCGGUGGAUUAUGUGGUUUAAUUCGAUGAUACGCGAGGAACCUUACCAAGGCUUAAAUGGGAAUUGACAGGUUUAGAAAUAGACNNUUCUUCGGACAAUUUUCAAGGUGCUGCAUGGUUGUCGUCAGCUCGUGCCGUGAGGUGUUAGGUUAAGUCCUGCAACGAGCGCAACCCCUGUCACUAGUUGCCAUCAUUCAGUUGGGGACUCUAGUGAGACUGCCUACGCAAGUAGAGAGGAAGGUGGGGAUGACGUCAAAUCAUCACGGCCCUUACGCCUUGGGCCACACACGUAAUACAAUGGCCAGUACAGAGGGCAGCUACCAGGCGACUGGAUGCGAAUCUCGAAAGCUNGUCUCAGUUCGGAUUGGAGUCUGCAACUNGACUCUAUGAAGCUGGAAUCGCUAGUAAUCGCAUAUCAGCCAUGAUGCGGUGAAUNCG
rnacentral:rRNA from 1 species